UCCAUAGGUUAAUGAGGCGAACCGGGGGAACUGAAACAUCUAAGUACCCCGAGGAAAAGAAAUCAACCGAGAUUCCCCCAGUAGCGGCGAGCGAACGGGGAGGAGCCCAGAGCCUGAAUCAGCAUGUGUGUUAGUGGAAGCGUCUGGAAAGGCGCGCGAUACAGGGUGACAGCCCCGUACACAAAAGCGCAUGUGCUGUGAGCUCGAUGAGUAGGGCGGGACACGUGGUAUCCUGUCUGAAUAUGGGGGGACCAUCCUCCAAGGCUAAAUACUCCUGACUGACCGAUAGUGAACCAGUACCGUGAGGGAAAGGCGAAAAGAACCCCGGCGAGGGGAGUGAAAAAGAACCUGAAACCGUGUACGUAC
rnacentral:rRNA from 1 species